CAAAAUGGCCGCAAAUUUUCAAUAAAGCAACUGCAUUCGCUGUCAUGUAACACUACAUAGAAACACACAUGAUCACUGUAAAUGCUUAGAUACAAAUUGCAGGAACAGCACGUUAGCAACUACAAUCACCGCAAGGGUCUAUCAAUUUGCUAUGCACAACACACAAUCUUUUCUUUCUCCAUAUCGAUGCCUUUUGCCCCUACCAUGGUGUGUGUGUGUGGGGGGGGGGGGGGGGGGGUGUACGGGUUGUCCUGCGGCGCAUGAAAAAACGGCAAAUGACCUAAACCUUUAUGCAAGGAUAGAAAAAUAGUGUUAUAAUCAAACAAGUUUUAGCAAAAGUACCACAACAUCGAAGCCAAAAUGCUUGCAUCCCAACUCACAUGGCGAGUGCCCAGGUAGCGAGAAAAAACCAUUAGCAAAAGGGUAUUGCAAAUGGAGGGGUGAGGACGGUGGACCUAGGUGGCAACCUUGCAACGAGUAGUAGCUAGAGGUAAGGGAUAAGGGAUACGGAUUAGGAAAUAUUUGGUUGCCUGCUAUUGGUCGCCACGCCACAUAUGCU
rnacentral:lncRNA from 1 species